UACGUAGGGUGCGAGCGUUGUCCGGAAUUAUUGGGCGUAAAGAGCUUGUAGGCGGUUUGUCGCGUCUGCCGUGAAAAUCCGGGGCUCAACCCCGGACUUGCGGUGGGUACGGGCAGACUAGAGUGUGGUAGGGGAGACUGAAAUUCCUGGUGUAGCGGUGAAAUGCGCAGAUAUCAGGAGGAACACCGAUGGCGAAGGCAGGUCUCUGGGCCACUACUGACGCUGAGAAGCGAAAGCGUGGGGAGCGAACAGG
rnacentral:rRNA from 1 species